rnacentral:sRNA from 1 species
CCACCUCAUCCGCCUCCCCCUUCCCCUUCCCCCUCCUCCUCCUCAGCCACCACAGCAGCGCGACCACCACCAGCACCGCCACGGCCCCAGCCCCCGCCGCCCCCGCCGCCGCGGCGACAGC